UUUCUCUUCACAGAUGACACAUUAGGCGAGUGUCUACUGGAGUCAAACGAAGGAAAUAGAACAUAUCCUUGUGAUGCAGCAGAUAUUACACAGCGUACAUGGAUACAAAGACAUCGAAAUGAGAUAAAUAAUAACAGUCUUCCAAGAUGGACCCCGUAUGUACGACGACUGAUUAUAAGCUGGAGGAAAGAUAGCAGUGCUGAACAGAAAGCUUCAGUAUGUAUCGGGGUCCGUAACCAGAAUGGAUCUUAUGAACCCUUGCCUCUACGCUGUAAUGAAUAUCAUACCUCCAUAUGCAAGAAUGCUGACAUAACGACAGUUACAACUUCACCGCCUACUACAAGCUCUGGUCUCAGAACAUUGAGGGGACAAACGACGUUAGUGCACCAGAUUACAAGUUCAUCUCCUGUUUAUCGUCAGAGAGAUAACGAAGUGUAAAUACCAGGAAUGUAGGCAACUUAAUGAUGUCCCAACUGGGAAAGGCAUCUAUAGCUAACAGAAAAGGGUGGAAAGGUAUGGGGUAUUGAUACGAAUGUAGCAGUAGGUAAGUACUUUUGAAUGUUAUUUAAAACACAUGCAUUUCAGUAUUUCA